UGUAUGCAGCAAUUUUAACUGGAAAAGUUAACAAGAAAGAUAAAUAAAAUUAUUGUUUCACUCUUGCAUACAUUAUCUUUCAUCAGUUAUAUUAAGGAUCACGUCUUUUUUAUUCAUUUAAAAUUUGGCAGUGACGUGAACCUGAGCUAAGAUGCAAAAAUAUUUUAUUUGUCUAUUUAUAAUCCUGCUGGUUGCAUGUGUCCAGGCACAAGAUGUGAUCAAGAACCAGCAGCUUAAGAGUCAGCAGCAUAUCGGUGAUCAGAAGGAUGAAAUUCUUGAAACUGCAAAUAGUGUCGUAUUUAGGCCAAUCUUCACUUAUAGAAAAACUGUAAAUCAAAGACGACGGGUAUAUCCAACACGCAGACCAACAAGAACAUUCAAUUUUUAAAAUUAUACUAAAUUAAAUGUAUUUAUUAUGUCAGAAUGUUUUUGUAAUAUUAUAUAUUAUGUUUCUAAAUCCUAUAUUUGUUUUAUACAUUUAUAAUAUAUAAUAUUACAUACUACAUUUAUAUAACAUUUAUUUAUUUAUUUUAUAUAUUAGUAUUUUAUAAUAAAUUAUAAUUUAAAAUA